CAGUCGCCGCGGUAAUACGAAGGGGGCUAGCGUUGUUCGGAUUUACUGGGCGUAAAGCGCACGUAGGCGGAUCGAUCAGUCAGGGGUGAAAUCCCAGAGCUCAACUCUGGAACUGCCUUUGAUACUGUCGAUCUGGAGUAUGGAAGAGGUGAGUGGAAUUCCGAGUGUAGAGGUGAAAUUCGUAGAUAUUCGGAGGAACACCAGUGGCGAAGGCGGCUCACUAGUCCAUUACUGACGCUGAGGUGCGAAAGCGUGGGGAGCAAACAGGAUUAGAUACCCCUGUAGUCCCUGUCUCUUAUAC
rnacentral:rRNA from 1 species